rnacentral:rRNA from 1 species
AGAGUUUGAUCCUGGCUCAGGAUGAACGCUGGCGGCGUGCUUAACACAUGCAAGUCGAGCGGAAGCAUUUAGAAGCUUGCUUUUAAAUACUUUAGCGGCGGACGGGUGAGUAACGUGUGGGCAACCUGCCUCAUACAGAGGAAUAAUCAUGUGAAAACGUGACUAAUACCUCAUGUCAAUUUCUGAAGGCAUCUUCGGGAAAGAAAAGGAGCAAUCCGGUAUGAGAUGGGCCCGCAUCUGAUUAGCUAGUUGGUGAGAUAACAGCCCACCAAGGCAACGAUCAGUAGCCGACCUGAGAGGGUGAUCGGCCACAUUGGGACUGAGACACGGCCCAAACUCCUACGGGAGGCAGCAGUGGGGAAUAUUGCACAAUGGGGGAAACCCUGAUGCAGCAACGCCGCGUGAAGGAAGACGGUUUUCGGAUUGUAAACUUCUAUCGAUAGGGACGAAAAAAAUGACGGUACCUAAAUAAGAAGCCCCGGCUAACUACGUGCCAGCAGCCGCGGUAAUACGUAGGGGGCAAGCGUUAUCCGGAAUUACUGGGUGUAAAGGGUGAGUAGGCGGCAUGAUAAGUAAGAUGUGAAAGCCCGCAGCUUAACUGCGGGAUUGCAUUUUAAACUAUUGAGCUAGAGUACAGGAGAGGAAAGCGGAAUUCCCAGUGUAGCGGUGAAAUGCGUAGAUAUUGGGAAGAACACCAGUGGCGAAGGCGGCUUUCUGGACUGAAACUGACGCUGAGGCACGAAAGCGUGGGGAGCGAACAGGAUUAGAUACCCUGGUAGUCCACGCCGUAAACGAUGAGUGCUAGGUGUCGGAGGGGAACCUUCGGUGCCGCAGCAAACGCAAUAAGCACUCCACCUGGGGAGUACGAUCGCAAGAUUGAAACUCAAAGGAAUUGACGG